UAGGAACCGUGAGAUUAAGCCAUCGCGGCAGGUGCUCACGUUAAGCCCACUGACUUUCAUGUCCCUAUCUACUAUCUAGCGAAACCACAGCCAAGGAAAUGGGCUUGGAAUAAUUAGCGGGGAAAGAAGAACCUUUUGAGCUUGACUCUUAUCUGGCAGUGUAAGGAGACAUAAGAGGUGUAGAAUAAGUGGGAGAUAUUAGACUUCGGUUUGGUAUCGACAAUGAAAUACCACUACUCUUAUUGUUUCCUUACUUACACAAACCACACAUAGAGCAAAAGGGCAAGUGCUGACUUGAUCUCGGUGUUCAGUACACACAGGGACAGCAAAAGCUCGGCCUAUCGAUCCUUUUCGUUUAAAGAGU
rnacentral:ncRNA from 1 species